AUUGAACGCUGGCGGCAUGCUUUACACAUGCAAGUCGAACGGCAGCACGGGGGCAACCCUGGUGGCGAGUGGCGGACGGGUGAGUAAAGCAUCGGAACGUAUCCUGGAGUGGGGGGAUAACGUAGCGAAAGUUACGCUAAUACCGCAUAUUCUGUGAGCAGGAAAGCAGGGGAUCGCAAGACCUUGCGCUCUGGGAGCGGCCGAUGUCGGAUUAGCUAGUUGGUGGGGUAAAGGCCUACCAAGGCGACGAUCCGUAGCGGGUCUGAGAGGAUGAUCCGCCACACUGGGACUGAGACACGGCCCAGACUCCUACGGGAGGCAGCAGUGGGGAAUUUUGGGACAAUGGGCGGAAGCCUGAUCCAGCCAUGCCGCGUGAGUGAAGAAGGCCU
rnacentral:rRNA from 1 species